rnacentral:misc_RNA from 1 species
GAUGAAGAACGUAGCGAAAUGCGAUACUUGGUGUGAAUUGCAGAAUCCCGUGAACCAUCGAGUCUUUGAACGCAAGUUGCGCCCGAAGCCAUUAGGCCGAGGGCACGCCUGCCUGGGUGUCACACACCGUUACCCUCGCGCCAACGUCCAUCGUUGGCCGCGGCGCGGGGCGUGCGCUGACCUCCCGCGAGCGGGGUCUCGUGGUUGGUUGAAAAUCGAGUUCGCGGUCGAGGGUGCCGUGAUGAAAUGGUGGAUGGGCGACGCCCGAGGCCAAUCACGCGCGACUCUGUCCGGCUCGAACUCCUGGACCCCUUCGGCGUCUCCGGACGCUCUUUGGCGAGACCUCAGGUCAGGCGGGGCUACCCGCUGAGUUUAAGCAUAUCAAUAAGCGGAGGA